rnacentral:rRNA from 1 species
UACAGAGGUCCCAAGCGUUGUUCGGAUUUACUGGGCGUAAAGGGUGCGUAGGCGGCCGUGCAAGUCUGGCGUGAAAGCCCCGGGCUCAGCCCGGGAAGUGCGCUCGAAACUGCGCGGCUCGAGUGCCGGAGGGGAGAGUGGAAUUCCUGGUGUAGCGGUGAAAUGCGUAGAUAUCAGGAGGAAUACCGGUGGCGAAAGCGACUCUCUGGACGGCAACUGACGCUGAGGCACGAAAGCGUGGGGAGCAAACAGG